GGAAAUUAGUCUCAGAUUUUGUUCCAUAUAACUUUUUGACAACUCACAGUAUCAGGAAUUGUUGUAAAAGAUGAGAGAAUUCAUAAGGGCUAACUCUUCAGUUACUAAUUUGCAGAACUUGAAGCUGAGAUUGUUUCUUUGCUAAGGCUGCUUGAGGAACAGACUUAUGGGAUCAGAAAGCAAUUAAAAAAGGUGCUGAAUGGAGCUUGUGAAAUCAGCAAAACAAAUUACUUUAACAAUACUACUUACAUGAGUAAUGAAGAUGAGCUCCUUCCCCGGAGUCAUUUGUAUCUAUUUAAG
rnacentral:lncRNA from 1 species